CUUGCAGCCUGAGGGAACAGAUGAAGCAGCAGCUCAUGGAGUGUAGCGCCACAGUUCAAGCCAGUGAAGAAAGUUAUCCUGACCAUAUCAUAGAAGAAAAGCUAAUCAAGACUACCACAGAAGAUUUGGAAAGAGAAAUGGAGG